CGGGGUGCAGCAGGCGCGAAAACUUUACAAUGCCGGCAACGGCGAUAAGGGAACCUCGAGUGCCAGGUUACAAAUCUGGCUGUCGCGGUGCCUAAAAAGCACUGCAUAGCAAGGGCCGGGCAAGACCGGUGCCAGCCGCCGCGGUAACACCGGCGGCUCGAGUGGUAACCGUUAUUAUUGGGUCUAAAGGGUCUGUAGCCGGCCGGAUAAGUCUCUUGGGAAAUCCGGCAGCUCAACUGUCGGGCUUUCAGGAGAUACUGUCUGGCUCGAGGCCGGGAGAGGUGAGAGGUACUUCAGGGGUAGGGGUGAAAUCUUGUAAUCCUUGAAGGACCACCAGUGGCGAAGGCGUCUCACCAGAACGGACCUGACGGCAAGGGACGAAAGCUAGGGGCACGAACCGGAUUAGAUACCCGGGUAGUCCUAGCCGUAAACGAUACUCGCUAGGUGUCGGCCACGGUGCGACCGUGGUCGGUGCCGUAGGGAAGCCGUGAAGCGAGCCACCUGGGAAGUACGGCCGCAAGGCUGAAACUUAAAGGAAUUGGCGGGGGAGCAC
rnacentral:rRNA from 1 species